rnacentral:tRNA from 1 species
GCCGAAGUGGUGGAAUGGUAGACACGAGGGACUUAAAAUCCCUUGCCCAUUGCGGGCGUGUGGGUUCAAGUCCCACCUUCGGUA